CAUAAGCCAGCUUGACUGCGAGCGUGACGGCGCGAGCAGGUGCGAAAGCAGGUCAUAGUGAUCCGGUGGUUCUGAAUGGAAGGGCCAUCGCUCAACGGAUAAAAGGUACUCCGGGGAUAACAGGCUGAUACCGCCCAAGAGUUCAUAUCGACGGCGGUGUUUGGCACCUCGAUGUCGGCUCAUCACAUCCUGGGGCUGAAGUAGGUCCCAAGGGUAUGGCUGUUCGCCAUUUAAAGUGGUACGCGAGCUGGGUUUAGAACGUCGUGAGACAGUUCGGUCCCUAUCUGCCGUGGGCGCUGGAGAACUGAGGGGGGCUGCUCCUAGUACGAGAGGACCGGAGUGGACGCAUCACUGGUGUUCGGGUUGUCAUGCCAAUGGCACUGCCCGGUAGCUAAAUGCGGAAGAGAUAAGUGCUGAAAGCAUCUAAGCACGAAACUUGCCCCGAGAUGAGUUCUCCCUGAGACUUUAAGUCUCCUGAAGGAACGUU
rnacentral:rRNA from 1 species